GUCCAUCCAGUGGAGCAGGUACAUCAGGGGAAAGUACAUUUCCUUAUAUACCAAACCAAAGUACUACUGACUCAGAAAUUACCGAGGACGGUUUUCGCUGGAGAAAAUAUGGCCAUAAGGUUGUGAAGGGAAGUUCAUAUCCCAGGAGCUAUUACAGAUGCACAAGUCCUAAAUGCAGUGUGCGGAAGUUUGUUGAAAGAACCACGGAUGAUCCCAGAGCCUUUAUUACUACAUACGAGGGAAAACACAACCAUGGUGUUCCAAACAGAAGACCAAAUUCAGAGGCAUCCAAAACAAGCUCAAAAUCUUCAGCUAUGAAAGAGAAAUUAUAGUCGAUGCAAUCAGAAUAACCUCAUGCUAGCAAAAAUAAGCUAUAUACUAAUAUUAUACAAUCAAGAAGAUGGUUUAGCAAAUCGGAAAUUGAUGAAGUUAAUCUUAUUGCAGUAUUCAUUAUAUUUCCUUUGCUAAACCAUCUGAGAUCGCAAAUGCUCGGGAGUUCCUCUAUGCUAGAAGAGGCUACUAUUGAGAUCUUUUUAAGCAUCAAUAGUGUAAACAAUUGGCCUCUAAUUAGUUGAUAAUUAUCUAUGAGUCACUUGAAUUAUUGGCUAUAUGUUCAAGACA